UACAGAGGGUGCAAGCGUUAAUCGGAAUUACUGGGCGUAAAGCGCACGUAGGUGGAUAUUUAAGUCGGAUGUGAAAGCCCUGGGCUUAACCUGGGAAUUGCCUCCGAUACUGGAUGUCUAGAGUAUGGUAGAGGGUAGUGGAAUUUCCGGUGUAGCGGUGAAAUGCGUAGAUAUCGGAAGGAACACCAGAGGCGAAGGCGGCGCCCUGGCUCGCAACUGACGCUCAGACACGACAGCAUGGGGAGCGAACGGG
rnacentral:rRNA from 1 species